rnacentral:rRNA from 1 species
UACGUAGGGUGCAAGCGUUAAUCGGAAUUACUGGGCGUAAAGCGUGCGCAGGCGGUUCUAUAAGACAGAUGUGAAAUCCCCGGGCUCAACCUGGGAACUGCAUUUGUGACUGUAGAGCUGGAGUGCGGCAGAGGGGGAUGGAAUUCCGCGUGUAGCAGUGAAAUGCGUAGAUAUACGGAGGAACACCGAUGGCGAAGGCAAUCCCCUGGGCCUGCACUGACGCUCAUGCACGAAAGCGUGGGGAGCAAACAGG